AUCCAGUUGACGAGUCCCAAAUAAGACGAAACGCACGUCAAACUGGAU
rnacentral:hammerhead_ribozyme from 1 species